rnacentral:snoRNA from 1 species
GGAGCAUCAAUGAUGUGUUACAUCCACUUGUUAUCCUUGCACUUUGAUUGUUAGUGAAGAAACUAAUGGGGAAAACAUUCUGAGAUGCUC